CAGAGACUGCAAGCGUUAUUCGGAUUCACUGGGCGUAAAGGGUGCGCAGGCGGUUGGGUGUGUCAGAUGUGAAAUCCCGAGGCUUAACCUCGGAACUGCGUCUGAAACUACUCGACUAGAGUAUUGGAGAGGGUAACGGAAUUCACGAUAUAGCAGUGAAAUGCGUAGAUAUCGUGAGGAACACCAGAGGCGAAGGCGGUUACCUGGACAAUUACUGACGCUCAGGCACGAAAGCAUGGGGAGCAAAAGGGAUUAGAUACCCCUGUAGUCCAUGCCCUAAACGGUGCACACUAGGUCUUAGCGGAUUCGACCCCACUAGGGCCCAAGCUAACGCGUUAAGUGUGCCGCCUGAGGACUACGGUCGCAAGACUA
rnacentral:rRNA from 1 species